UACGUAGGGUGCAAGCGUUGUCCGGAAUUAUUGGGCGUAAAGAGCUCGUAGGCGGUCUGUUGCGUCGGCUGUGAAAACCCGGGGCUCAACUCCGGGCCUGCAGCCGAUACGGGCAGACUAGAGUUCGGCAGGGGAGACUGGAAUUCCUGGUGUAGCGGUGGAAAUGCGCAGAUAUCAGGAGGAACACCGGUAGCGGAAGGCGGGCCCUGCUGGGCCGAUACUGACGUCAGGCACGAAAGCGUGGGGAGCAAACAGGG
rnacentral:rRNA from 1 species